rnacentral:lncRNA from 1 species
CUAUGUUUCUUGCUGUUGCUGGCUAUGAUGUGAGCCAGAGUGGUCUAGAAAAGAUGACAUACAUGGAGUUUGAAAAGCUGGUAAGACACAGAGAGACCAGCACCCAUGGGAACCACCACACGCAGCAUCACUAUUUACCAAAAGCAACUUGACCUCGGAAGAAUGCUGAGCAGCACAGAAACAAUCAAAAAUACCACAGGACAUUUAAAAACAACAACAACAAAAAUAUUAUAAAUAAAACAGGAAAGUAGC